rnacentral:rRNA from 1 species
UACGUAGGCAGCAAGCGUUGUUCGGAGUUACUGGGCGUAAAGGGUGUGUAGGCGGUUCUUUAAGUUUGGUGUGAAAUCUCCCGGCUCAACCGGGAGGGUGCGCCGAAUACUGAGGGACUAGAGUGCGGGAGAGGAAAGUGGAAUUCCUGGUGUAGCGGUGAAAUGCGUAGAUAUCAGGAGGAACACCGGUGGUGUAAACGGCUUUCUGGACCAUAACUGACGCUGAGGCACGAAAGCGUGGGUAGCAAACAGG